CCUACGGGCUGCAGCAGUGAGGAAUAUUGGUCAAUGGACGCAAGUCUGAACCAGCCAUGCCGCGUGAAGGAUGAAGGCCUUCUGGGUUGUAAACUUCUUUUACCUGGGAAGAAAACUACGAUUUCUAUCGUAGCCGACGGUACCAGAGGAAUAAGCACCGGCUAACUCCGUGCCAGCAGCCGCGGUAAUACGGAGGGUGCAAGCGUUAUCCGGAUUUACUGGGUUUAAAGGGUGUGUAGGCGGGCUUUUAAGUCAGUGGUGAAAUCUCCGGGCUCAACCUGGAAACUGCCAUUGAUACUAUUAGUCUUGAAUUUUGUUGAGGUAGGCGGAAUAAGUCAUGUAGCGGUGAAAUGCUUAGAUAUGACUUAGAACACCAAUUGCGAAGGCAGCUUGCUAAACAAAUAUUGACGCUGAGGCACGAAAGCGUGGGGAUCAAACAG
rnacentral:rRNA from 1 species